rnacentral:rRNA from 1 species
AAGUUGGGCGAGCCUGAUCCAGCCAUGCCGCGUGUGUGAAGAAGGUCUUCGGAUUGUAAAGCACUUUAAGUUGGGAGGAAGGGUUGUAGAUUAAUACUCUGCAAUUUUGACGUUACCGACAGAAUAAGCACCGGCUAACUCUGUGCCAGCAGCCGCGGUAAU